rnacentral:rRNA from 1 species
GAAAUCAACCGAGAUUCCCCCAGUAGCGGCGAGCGAACGGGGAGGAGCCCAGAGUCUGAAUCAGUGUGUGUGUUAGUGGAAGCGUCUGGAAAGGCGCGCGAUACAGGGUGACAGCCCCGUACACAAAAAUGCACAUAUUGUGAGCUCGAUGAGUAGGGCGGGACACGUGGUAUCCUGUCUGAAUAUGGGGGGACCAUCCUCCAAGGCUAAAUACUCCUGACUGACCGAUAGUGAACCAGUACCGUGAGGGAAAGGCGAAAAGAACCCCGGCGAGGGGAGUGAAAAAGAACCUGAAACCGUGUACGUACAAGCAGUGGGAGCCUCUUAAUGGGGUGACUGCGUACCUUUUGUAUAAUGGGUCAGCGACUUAUAUUCUGUAGCAAGGUUAACCGAAUAGGGGAGCCGAAGGGAAACCGAGUCUUAACUGGGCGUUAAGUUGCAGGGUAUAGACCCGAAACCCGGUGAUCUAGCCAUGGGCAGGUUGAAGGUUGGGUAACACUAACUGGAGGACCGAACCGACUAAUGUUGAAAAAUUAGCGGAUGACUUGUGGCUGGGGGUGAAAGGCCAAUCAAACCGGGAGAUAGCUGGUUCUCCCCGAAAGCUAUUUAGGUAGCGCCUCGUGAAUUCAUCUCCGGGGGUAGAGCACUGUUUCGGCAAGGGGGUCAUCCCGACUUACCAACCCGAUGCAAACUGCGAAUACCGGAGAAUGUUAUCACGGGAGACACACGGCGGGUGCUAACGUCCGUCGUGAAGAGGGAAACAACCCAGACCGCCAGCUAAGGUCCCAAAGUCAUGGUUAAGUGGGAAACGAUGUGGGAAGGCCCAGACAGCCAGGAUGUUGGCUUAGAAGCAGCCAUCAUUUAAAGAAAGCGUAAUAGCUCACUGGUCGAGUCGGCCUGCGCGGAAGAUGUAACGGGGCUAAACCAUGCACCGAAGCUGCGGCAGCGACACUAUGUGUUGUUGGGUA